CCCGGGCCUUGUACACACCGCCCGUCACACCACGAAAGCUGCUUGAACCAGAAGCCGGUAACCCAACCCGCAAGGGAGGGAGCCGUCCAAGGUUUGAGUAGUGAUUGGGGUG
rnacentral:rRNA from 1 species